GAUGAACGCUAGCUACAGGCUUAACACAUGCAAGUCGAGGGCACGGCGCACGGGUGAGUAAAAUGUAUACAACCUGCCAUUUACUCGGGGAUAGCCUUUCGCCAGAAAGAUUAAUAACCGAUAUAAAGGAUGGGGAUGCGUUCCAUGAGGUUGUUGGUGAGCUAACGGCCCACCAAGCCUGCGAUGGAUAGGGGUUCUGAGAGGAAGGUCCCCCACAUUGGAACGGAGACACAGACCAAACUGGUACGCGAGGCUGCGGUGAGGAAUACUGUGCAAGGGGCGCUGGCCUGAACCAGCCAAGUAGCUUGAAGGGUGCAUGCUUAUGAGUCGUAUAUUUCGUUUAUAUAAGGAUAUUUAUUAGAUGAAUAAGGAUCGGCUAACUCCGUGCCAGCAGCCGCGGUAAUAC
rnacentral:rRNA from 1 species